CACCUGGUUUGUUCUUCAUUUUGCAAAUAGGAUACACCUGAAAAAUGGAGUAUUUAAGGAGCCUGUGAUCCAUUAUUCAUAAACCCAAACCCGCUUGUGCUGGAGUCUGCCAGCUGGGCACUAUGGUCUGGAGGAGGAGGUGGUGUGCAGGAGCAGUGAGGACCAAAAGAACUUGGUUUGCAGCAGAAUGUCUCUUCAAGCCAGUGGACAAUUGA
rnacentral:lncRNA from 1 species